CUGAGCAUUCCAGGACAAGCCCGCUGGCAGUAAGGACUCCCUGUGGAGUCAGGGUGAAGGUUCUAGUGUAAUCUGUGCUGUACUCCAGGAGCUGCCUACAGAAGUUCCAUGCCUUGUGUCUUCAGGAAGUCCAAUCGGUAUAUAGGUGCUUUUCCCACAAAACGCCAAGGGGCCAGCCUGAUGUAACCAUCCACAGAGGAGAUUCCUGGUAGUUCUGCCAUCUCAUCCCUCCCUCCAGAUGCAGCAACAGGAGCCAUUUGCCGCUCACCAGAGCUCUUGUGUCCCAGUGUUAGAGAGACACAGAGACUCAAGUUCAUGUUCUUCUCCUCAGGAGGACUGGGGCUGAAGACAAGAGAAGUUGCUCGCCUCUGUAAUACUGCACAGACGCUGUGAGGUGAAGCAAAGCAAAAAUCACAACUUUGGCUUGCGGUAUCAUAUAUGUGUGCGUGUGUACAUGGCACAGCACGUAAGUGACAGAGGGAACAACCUCAGGUGGACGCCUCCACUUCCACCUUGCUGCAGUCUCUUGUUCAUUGCACACACCAGGCUAGCUGGCCUUCAGUCACGGGUGUGCUGCGGUAUCGACCCCACCCCGAGAUUCUUCUUCUCAAGACGGUAGAAUGUCGACCUGGGAAAGGCUGGCAUGUUUGCUUUCACGGGAAUAUUCCAGUGAGGAGAGAUGUUCAGCUCCUCGGACCUGCCAUGGCUUCUGCCCUUCAAGUUGGUUUCUAUGGCUUGUGCUAUGAGGUUUUAAAAGACAGGUUCUCACCAUGAAGCCUUGGCUGGCCUGGAACUCAAUAUGUUGACCAGGCUGGCCUUGAACUCAGAGAGAGUGCUGGAAUUGUGUCAUGCCUGGCUUCUUACAGACUUUACAACCUGUACAUUAUUCGUUGGCUCUCCUACCAUCAAGAACCUAGUUCUGGGCCUGGAGAAAUGGCUCGGUGGUCUGGAAGAAGACCCAAGUUUAAUUCUCAGCAGCCAUGUUGCACGGCUCACGACUGCCUGUAGCUCCAGCUCCAGGGGAUCGGAUGCCUUAUUCUGGGAUUUGUAGACACCCACAUACAAGUGGUGCGUGCCACACCCACAACAUGCAUAGUUUAAAAAAAAAAGUGUAUUCUCUCCUUUUUAACCUGGAUGGGGAUCUGGGUACACCGGAAGUUCCCCAAAUGCAGCAAGUGACGCAGUGGCUUCUAAUCUCAGCUGGAAAAAGCUUAUGCAGCCUCCAGUGUCCAUUAGGACAGUCACGCUGGAAUUCUUCAGUUGCCGUGGGAAGAAGCCAGUACCCAGAUUCUCCGAGAGACACCUGAGUAGCCACAGCCGCCCAGCCUGAGUUGCUUGUGCCAUUUUUGUUGGAGCCUCCGAUAUGUGACUGAAAAAGCCCCGUACCUCUCCAUGGUCCUGAAGGGCUGCAAACUGAAGACCCUGUGUGAGAACCACUAUGCCAGCCCAGUUACCCAAAUGCAUACACAAAAGAGAUGGUUGUCAUUGCUAAGGGCAUUGUUUAUGGGUGGGUGUGUUAGGGCAGAGUUUGAAGCUGACUCAGACUCUUGUACCUGGAAGAAGACUGCUGCCAUGACAAAACCUAAUCAUGGCUUUAUGGCUGGGAUGUGGGCAGAUGUUCUCAGGGUUUUGAAGGUCUAUUAUUACUAUUGAAAACUUGAUGGUCUUCAAGGAGCCUGCUUGCAGGAGCUGAAAGGAAAGUGAGGGAAAUAUUGUUGGAAGUGGGGAGGGUGGUGGUAGGGGACAUUCGUGAGAUGGAAGAAGAAAGUUUAACAGAAUUGUCACGUGAAGUGAUUUGGGUCAUAAAAAAUGUACCUGAGGAAUUAA